AAUUCUUCUGGGCAGGGGUGCUUCACUGCUCCAAAAUUCGGACUUUGUUAGUGACAUACAAAUAAGCUGAUGAUUUAGGUAUUAAUAUCAUUUAUUGCAUGAAAGGUAUAUGGUAAUGUUUAAAGCAAUAUCCAAAGAGUUGUCAAUUAUUGACAGUUAGAAAGAUAUUAACUAAGGCCCAAGCAGGAGACAGUGGAGAGUAAGAAACUCCUCUUGAUGAAAUUCAAAUCAAAGUGA
rnacentral:lncRNA from 1 species